rnacentral:rRNA from 1 species
UACGGAGGGGGCUAGCGUUGUUCGGAAUUACUGGGCGUAAAGCGCACGUAGGCGGCUUUGUAAGUUAGAGGUGAAAGCCCAGGGCUCAACCCUGGAAUUGCCUUUAAUACUGUCGACCUUGAGUAUGGCAGAGGUGUGUGGAACUCCGAGUGUAGAGGUGAAAUUCGUAGAUAUUCGGAAGAACACCAGUGGCGAAGGCGACACACUGGGCCAUUACUGACGCUGAGGCGCGAAAGCGUGGGGAGCAAACAGG